CUUUUGUGAAGGGCGUUCCGAAGCUUUUGCUUUAGUAGUCAAGGGGACUCGAAACAAAGGUGUAAGAAGCUUGCUUUAGAGCUUUACAAACAAAGAGAAAGAGAGAGAGAGACAGAGAAAACCGACUCAGGUUUUCUUUCUUUCUGUUUUCUUUCUCACACAUACAAACAUAGACAGAGAGGAAAAAACCGUCUUCAUGCACUGCUUAAAUUAGCAAAGGAAGUUAAAGUCCACAGGAUUCUUGAUAUCAAAGGGUACUGCUUGCAUACCAAAGUUGUCAUGGAAGAUUUUCAGCUGAGUUGAUAGUUAAAAAAAAAAAAAAAGGAA